UAAGCAUAUCAAUAAGCGGAGGAAAAGAAACCAACAGGGAUUGCCCUAGUAACGGCGAGUGAAGCGGCAACAGCUCAAAUUUGAAAUCUGGCUCUCGGGCCCGAGUUGUAAUUUGUAGAGGAUGCUUUGGGCGCGGCGCCUUCUGAGUUCCCUGGAACGGGACGCCAUAGAGGGUGAGAGCCCCGUAUAGUUGGACGCCUAGCCUAUGUAAAGCUCCUUCGACGAGUCGAGUAGUUUGGGAAUGCUGCUCAAAAUGGGAGGUAAAUUUCUUCUAAAGCUAAAUACCGGCCAGAGACCGAUAGCGCACAAGUAGAGUGAUCGAAAGAUGAAAAGCACUUUGAAAAGAGGGUUAAAUAGCACGUGAAAUUGUUGAAAGGGAAGCGCCUGUGACCAGACUUGGGCCCGGCGGAUCAUCUAGCGUUCUCGCUGGUGCACUCCGCCGGGUUCAGGCCAGCAUCGGUUUCCUCAGGGGGAUAAAAGCGUCGGGAAUGUAGCUCCCCCGGGAGUGUUAUAGCCCGUCGCAGAAUACCCUUUAGGGGACCGAGGACCGCGCUUCGGCAAGGAUGCUGGCGUAAUGGUCACUAGCGACCCGUCUUGAAACACGGACCAAGGAGUCAAGCAUUAGGGCGAGUGUUUGGGUGUAAAACCCGCACGCGUAAUGAAAGUGAACGUAGGUGAGAGCUUCGGCGCAUCAUCGACCGAUCCUGAAGUAUUCGGAUGGAUUUGAGUAAGAGCCUUAACGCUUGGACCCGAAAGAUGAUGAUCUAUGCCUGUAUAGGGUGAAGCCAGAGGAAACUCUGGUGGAGGCUCGCAGCGGUUCUGACGUGCAAAUCGAUCGUCAAAUAUGGGCAUGGGGGCGAAAGAC
rnacentral:rRNA from 1 species